CUCAGGUGGGCACUGCAGAGCACAGCCUGAGGAGCCCAUGGCUGCAGCACCCUCACUGCCACCUUGCCUACCUUAGCUAAGGAUCUCAUCUCAGCCCUGCUUUGCAUGUGUAUCCCAAGAACCUGGUAUUUAAGGACUAGAAGAGCCCAGCAGAUGUGUGCAGGAGGAAGCCCCAGCAGCCUCUUCCCCUCAUAGAAUCACUCAAGGUUGGGAAGGACCGACAAGAUCAUCUAGUCUCAGUUUGUGACCUCCUGGUGCAUGCUGCAGAAUGUAUCUCAGCCAAUUUCCUUUAGGAGCCAAGGAUCCUGUAUUUUUUAUCAUGUAUGGAGGAAAAAGUGACUGAACAGUUAGACUUCUGCAUUUGUCAAAGUCCUUGAUAUACAUUCUGUGUUUGGAAUGAAAAGAGCUGCUCAUCCGCAAAAGAGAGAAAUGAAGCCCAAGCGUUCAAGGAAAAUACACAGAUGACAUUUUGGAGCCCAGCAAAAUCAGUUAAAACGUCUGUGUUGGUGCCAACGGAACAAAAAUUAUGUCAGAAGUGUCUGCGUGGAGACGCCCUUAAUUACAGUUAUUUUAAAGAAGGCACCUCUGCUGUUAAAGUGUCAUCACAAGAAUCAUUAUGAAAUACAGAUUUAAGAAGGCAAUUUAAAAGGUUUUCAUCCAACAAAAAUUAAUCAGUGGAUACUUAUGAUCAGAUUUACUUUUGAAAGCACAGGAUUUUUAUAUUUAUUUUUGUCUCUUCAGUCCCUUGCUUUCGUUGUCUGUACAGUCCUUCUCAUUUAGGCCAAAAUAGAUUACACUGAGCUCUAGACAACGUGUAGUUCCUGAGAGGAUCCUAUUGAAUAACUGGAUGAUGAAAACAUACCCAUACUGGAGAUUUAUGGUUCGUCGUGUUCAUAGCUGGAUUAGAAAUCAGUCUGGCACUUUCCAGCAAUCCCUAGCUGGCUUCUUAUACAGAAAAUAAAAAUAGCAUCUACAGUAUACUUUGAAAGAUUUAGCUUAAACAAUUUUUUCCCAUAUUUCUUGACAAGAUUCUCAAUUAAGGUAAACAUAUUUCUGUCAGAUUGAUGGAGAGAAUUGUCUUGAUUUCUCCCACUGAGUUUAACACCAGUGGCAUCUUACAGCCAAUUGCAAAUUACGACAUUCACACAGAUGAAGUGAAAAAACAGUUACGAAGCUACAGGUGUCAAUAAACUGUCAUUUUAUAAUCCUAUUUGCAAAAAAUGCAAAAAUUAAAAGACCUGACACUUUACACUGACAUGGUUAACCUGUUCACUUUUUCUUUGAUCUUCCAUCUGCUCUUCAUUUCAGUACCUGCCAGCAGAAGCAAAAAAUUGCUGCCUGAAGAUGAUAUAGGUGUCAGAAAUCAGCAGACAGUUGUUGAAAGUCUUCCCCACUAGAACAAGGAUCUCUAAUCUUUUUACUCUAGCUGACACACAGAAGGAAAAAGCUCCAGGAGAUGGAAAGGUUCCCACCCAGAAGGCAAAAGGUAUACAGAGUGCUUGGGUGAAAACUGGCUCAGAAGCUGCAGUCACCAACUCCCUGCUCAAGUGCUGCUGUUAUCCAUCCAUGGUCUGGAUAACUUUUUGGACAGCAGUUUUGUUGGCAC
ensembl:lncRNA